CAGUCGCCGCGGUAAUACGUAGGUGGCAAGCGUUAUCCGGAAUUAUUGGGCGUAAAGCGCGCGCAGGCGGUUUCUUAAGUCUGAUGUGAAAGCCCACGGCUCAACCGUGGAGGGUCAUUGGAAACUGGGGAACUUGAGUGCAGAAGAGAAAAGCGGAAUUCCACGUGUAGCGGUGAAAUGCGUAGAGAUGUGGAGGAACACCAGUGGCGAAGGCGGCUUUUUGGUCUGUAACUGACGCUGAGGUGCGAAAGCGUGGGGAGCAAACAGGAUUAGAGACCCCCGUAGUCCCUGUCUCUUAUAU
rnacentral:rRNA from 1 species